rnacentral:rRNA from 1 species
UACGAAGGAUGCAAGCGUUAUCCGGAUUCAUUGGGUUUAAAGGGUGCGUAGGCGGACCUGUAAGUCAGUGGUGAAAUCUCUUUGCUUAACAAAGAAACUGCCAUUGAUACUGCAAGUCUAGAGUAUAGAUGACGUUGGCGGAAUAUGACAUGUAGUGGUGAAAUGCGUAGAGAUGUGAUAGAACACCGAUUGCGAAGGCAGCUAACGAAACUAUAACUGACGCUGAGGCACGAAAGUGCGGGGAGCAAACAGG